rnacentral:rRNA from 1 species
GGGUCAGUGGGUUGGUCGUGCCACCGGUACGUACUGGUCUCACUGAUUCCUCCUUCCUGAAGAACCGUAAUGCCAUUGAUUUGGUGUUGCGGGGAAACAGGACUGUUACUUUGAAAAAAUUAGAGUGUUUAAAGCAAGCUAACGCUUGAAUACAUUAGCAUGGAAUAAUGAAAUAGGACGAUCGAUCCUAUUUUGUUGGUUUCUAGGAUUGACGUA